ACAAUGGAGAGUUUGAUCCUGGCUCAGGAUGAACGCUAGCGGCAGGCUUAACACAUGCAAGUCGAGGGGCAGCGAGAUUGAAGCUUGCUUCAA
rnacentral:ncRNA from 1 species